rnacentral:rRNA from 1 species
CCUACGGGUGGCAGCAGUGAGGAAUAUUGGUCAAUGGGCGCGAGCCUGAACCAGCCAAGUAGCGUGAAGGAUGACUGCCCUCCGGGUUGUAAACUUCUUUUAUAAAGGAAUAAAGUGAGGCACGUGUGCCUUUUUGUAUGUACUUUAUGAAUAAGGAUCGGCUAACUCCGUGCCAGCAGCCGCGGUAAUACGGAGGGUCCGAGCGUUAGCCGGAUUUAUUGGGUUUAAAGGGCGAGUAGAUGGGUUGUUAAGUCAGGUGUGAAAGUUUGCGGCGCAACCGUAAAAUUGCAGUUGAUACUGGCAGUCUUGAGUGGAGGAGAGGUAGGCGGAAU